CCUGUUUUUGUUUUUUAUCACAGAUGGGACAAAACAACAACAGCACAAUAUUGUGGAUCGUUUUUUUUUUUUGUGAAUGACACGAAAACACGUGGUGGAUUGCAUUGGUUUAUUCAAUUGGUUUGUGUGUGUGUGUGAGAGAGACAGGUCGUGUGUGUCGUAGAUAAAGAGAGAGGGAGAGAGAGAAAGAGACACACUUUUAUCCACGAAAUAAUGGUUUAUUUCAGUGCUAAAGCUACAUAUGAAAUUGGGUUUACUUAUACGCAUACAACAACAAAAUAGUCAAGGCGAACAAUUGGGAAAUAAACAAACUAAAAAGCAACUAAAAAUACCACAAAUAAACUAAAAUAGGUAAAAGAUUGAUAAACCAAAGAAACUUUGUGCACUCAAUUAUAGGUGUGAUUCGGUAAUUAUGUAUAGGUAUGCGUGUGCAUGUUCGGUGUGUUUACGUAGAAGGGAGUGGGACAGAUGGUGCAAACAAAUGCGCUUUACCGUUAGAAAUGCAGGCCACGCAAACUAUCGAUAGGCAACACUGGCAUUGCCAGCGUGAAAAAGUUUCAAACUCUCAAACAUUUCAAACAUCUAGGAGAACAAGAACAACAAAUAUAACAUCAUCUCAGGGAUUUGCCGGGAAAGAGGGACCAGAAACGGAACGGAGCGAAACAAACGGAAUGGAACGUGAGGAACGUAGAACGCAGGCAAGCAUGAUCGAACAAGUGGAAUCCAACACUCUGCGCGCGCGCUCUGUGUGCCGAAAAACUCAGCUCUAGAUUGGAAGUUUAAUUUGCUAAGUGCUAAUUACCUGGCAGAUUAUUCACAUAGCCGCCAUCCAGCAAGAGGUGCCCAUCUUUAGGAUCGCAUAACGGCGGCAUGUAGCCACUGAGCGACAUGGAGGAGCGUACGUAACGCCACAGAGAUCCUGGUAUUUAAAAUCAACGACAGACACAUGCCAGCAAUGAUAAGUCGGUGGGUGUUUUGUGUGUGUUUGUGUUUUGGGGGAGGAGAAGAGAAAAAUAAGAAAGAUUGAGAGAAACUUGCUUUGAGCUAUCUUUUUUUUCUUAAUGGAGGAGAGAAAGGGGUAUAUGAAAUGGAGAAUUUUGGGAUGGGGAGCACCAAUGGAUUGGGUUUUAAUGGGCGCAGCGAUGCGGGGUGGUUUAAAAGAGGAGCAACGAGUUUAGCCUCUAGCAAAGAGCACCAUUUCGAUUUAUGGCACAAGCUCUCCAAACAACAACAACAACAGCGACAACAAUGAGAUUUAAAUUUGGUUUGUUAGGUUUCAAGUUCAAACAAAACGGCACAUUCGAUUGGCAGCAUAACGCCGAUAACUAGUCGAUUCCACAGCAGAAAAUAACAAUAAGAAUAGUGAAAAUGCCUCUACAAAAUUGCGGGCCAUGGAAUGUGGCUGUGCCUAUGUGUGUGUGUGUGUGUGCGUGACUGUGUGGGUGCGUGCCUGUGUGGGCGUCUCAUUGUCUGGGAUUUCAUUUUUGGGCACACUCAGUUCUAAGGCUACCAAAGGAUCAAAAGGAUCAGGAACUACAAAACGAUACAAAAGCACAAUAAAGGUGGGGAUAAUAAACUACAAAAAUCAUAAAAAAGGAAAAUACCCAAAGAAAAACUUGUAGCAGAAAGCAAACCAAAAGGGGGAGCAUAUAGAAUAAAGAGUACAAUGUAUUAACAGCAGUUUCAAACUUUUCAAAUUACCAAUUUCAAUUUCUUUCGAAAAUGUAACUAAUUUUACUUUCUUAAAUACAAAUUUAAAGUAUUCAGAACCGAUUAUCAGUUUAUUUAUUACAAACGAUUUAGCUUUAAAGGUCAUACUAGUUAAGUACAUUGCAUUCCCAUUAGCCGAUAUCCCAAAAAAAAAAUAAAGAAUAGCGACUAAACGACAGAAAAUGACAGAGACAGCCACAUACAAAGCGAGGGAGACAGACAGAAAGAGAAGUCUGAGUUGACUUACCAUUGGUGUGAAUGCGAUGGCAACUGGCGGUUAUGUCGGUGGUGAGGGUGAAGUAGGGUAUCCACAGGUCCUCGAUGCUCACGUCCCCGAAAGUGUCGUGGAUCGUCUUGUUGAACUCCCGUCCGGAGAACAUCGAUGUGAUCGGGUAGGUGAGGUCAAGUAGUUGUAGGAACCAUUUCGUCAUUUUCUAAAGUAUUUGCAUAUGUAUACAUUAAACAUGUAUAUGUAUAUAAGGAACUAACCUUUGACCACUCGCGCGCCUUCUGCGUUACCGUGGUGAUAUUACGAUCCGAGCACCAUAGAGCUCCCAUCAAGGCACCGAUGCUGACGCCGCCCACCAUGUCAACAGGUAUGCCCGCCUCCUGGAUGGCCUUCAGCAUAC